UCUCCGUAGGUGAACCUGCGGAGGGAUCAUUACAGAGUUCAUGCCCUAACGGGUAGAUCUCCCACCCUAUGUUAUCAUCACUUUGUUGCUUUGGCGGGCCGUCAGGACUCGGCCUGGCUACCGGCUCUCGCUGGUAAGCGCCCGCCAGAGAACCCCAAACCCUGAAUAUCAGUGUCGUCUGAGUACUAUAUAAUAGUUAAAACUUUCAACAACGGAUCUCUUGGUUCUG
rnacentral:misc_RNA from 1 species